CAAUAGCGUAUAUUUAAGUUGUUGCAGUUAAAAAGCUCGUAGUUGGAUUUCGGGUGGGACGCAGCGGUCUCGCAUUGCGUUUGUACUGCUGCAGCCCUCCUUCUUGCCGGGGGCGGCCUGUCGGACUUCACUGUCUGCGGGUCAGAAUCGGCGAUGUUACUUUGAGUAAAUUAGAGUGUUCAAAGCAAGCUUACGCUCUGAAUAUAAUAGCAUGGGAUAACACGACAGGACUCUGGCCUAUCGUGUUGGUCUAUAGGACCAGAGUAAUGAUUAAGAGGGACAGUCGGGGGCAUUCGUAUUCCGUUGUCAGAGGUGAAAUUCUUGGAUUUACGGAAGACGAACAUCUGCGAAAGCAUUUGCCAAGGAUGUUUNCAUUGG
rnacentral:rRNA from 1 species